UGGAGUGCUGCCUGCCGCUCGACGAGGUGAGUAGAAAACUGCUGGGCCUGGUGAGCUGAGGGACUGAUGUUCCUGCGAUGGCCAUGGCAACAGUUUGGCUUAUCAUGCUUCCACUCUCGCCUUCAUAAUCAUCAGCAGUGACACAGCUCGGCCUCCCUCGCUGAUUGUGACUCUCUGUAAAGUCAUAGAGCUGAGGCACCGUUUCCAUGAUCACACCAAUCAGAGGUAGAUACAGCAUCGCCACCCG
rnacentral:lncRNA from 1 species